rnacentral:lncRNA from 1 species
UUAAAUUUAUACAUAGAGUGUCUAGCGUAUUUGGAGUGUUUUUUUUUUUUUUUUUUCUUAAAGGAUUUUCUUUGUGUUUUGCAGAACUAUUGGUAAUAUAUUUUGGACACUGUGGAUGGACUAAAGUGAAAAUAGAAUAAGGAAGAGGCAGAAACACUUUCGUGACUUCCAUGGCCCUGAAGAAGUUCAUGACCAUGCAUCAUUUGUAUUCAGUCAUGGGGAUGAGUUCUCCAUCGGUUGGUAAACCAAGGACUCUGGCAUUGUUGAUCACAGCCCACAGUCCUGUGAUCAGCACUGCCUUUUGGUCCACAGGUAACAAUUCUUGGCUAGAAAAUUUCUUAGGAUUGAGUGGGGAAAAGGAACAAGGAUGGGAUCUUGGCAGUGCAUCAAAGUGGCCAAGAAGAAUGAUCCCUUUUUGGCUUCAGAGUCUCUGAUCAAGCAUAUCCCAUGAAUCCUGGGUCCAGACUUUAAAAAGGUGGCAAAUUGCCUUCCUUGCUGACCCAUAAUGAGAAUAUGGCAGCCAAAGGUGAUGAAGUCAAGUCCACCUUCAAGUUCCAGAUGAAGAAGAUGCCAUGUCUGGCAGCGCCUGUUGGCCACAUGGUGAUGACAGAUGAUGAGCUUGUGUACAACGUCCACUUAGCUGUCAACUUCCUGGUGUCCUUGCUCAAGAGAAAUUGGCAGAAUGUUUGGGCUUUGUACAUUAAGAGUGCCAUGGGCAAGCGCCUGUACAUGGCACAGCUUAAUAAACCAUACUGCCAU